CCCUUAGAUGUUCUGGGCCGCACGCGUGCUACACUGAGUGGAUCAGCGGGUCAGGUUGCGCGAAAGUGUUUCCUAAUCUUUAAAUCCGCUCGUGAUGGAGAUUGACGGUUGCAAUUUUCCGUCAUGAACGAGGAAUACCUUGUAAGCGCGGGUCAUCAUCCCGCGCUGAAUACGUCCCUGCCCUUUGUACACACCGCCCGUCGCUCCUACCGAUUGAGUGGUCCGGUGAGGCUUUGGGAUCUGAGCGGAAAGAGCGUUUCGCUGUUUCUGCCCGGAAAACUCAGUCGAACCUUAUCAUUUAGAGGAAGGAGAAGUCGUAACA
rnacentral:rRNA from 1 species